GAUUUGUUGACUGAGAUGUGUCUGGAGAGCAGGUUCCAUGAGGACACUUCAAUAGAGAAAAGAUGAAGGCAUACUGCCAUUAACAUGGGAUCCAAAAGCCUGAAAGUGACCAAAAAGCACUGACAGGUCAAAUAAGAUGCAGCUGGAAUCACUGGAGACAAUUUGCUAAUGAUUGGUAUCUCCCGAGGUGGGCGUGAGGUGGACACUGAGCAAUCAAGCUGGAAUAAAACAGGAAGCGUCUUCCCUGCUGGCUGGCUGUCCCAUGCUGGAAAGUGGCUUGCAGGCUUCUGGAGAAAAGUCCUUAGUGGUGUGAAGCAGCAGUGGAACCUGGGCACUGGGCAACAACCAGCCAAGCGAGCUGUAAGAGCCGGGCAGCAGCGGGGCAGUCAACCGCUGGCUGACUAGACCUGAGGCCUGAUGCCCGGGAAGAAAUCCAGGCUGGCUGUUGAAAACCUAGUCACAAAUCCUAUGGCUGGGAAGGUUCUAGGCGACAGGGGGAAGUUCCUAUUGUUGUCUGGCUAAAUUGAUUGGCUGUGCUCAUCACAAUGUGCUCUCAGUAUGUAUGUACGUGCCUGUUGAUCAGUUUGUUCUCAGCUUUGGUCAGAGAAACCCCUUUUUAUAGACGUCAGUGACAACUGAGGAGAUUCGGAACCCAUCAAAGUGCUGAAAAGUGACUCUAGAGUGCUCGGCACUGAACGAAACAGGCCCAUUACACCUUCCAAAGCUAAGGGGACCUUGUGGAGGAGGGGCUGGCAAGCAAAGGUAAGAGCCAGACGAUGGGGAGAAGGACUUUGGGACGCUGUCUUCUGACCGCGAAGCAGUCAUGCGUCCAUGACUCCACAGUAGCUGUUGUGACCUGCACAGCCUUGCACAAUGUGGGGCUCAUCCACCUUGCAUCGGGGACGACAGAGGACAAAGAAGACAUGACAACAGAAUCAGGAAGAGUUGGAAAGGUUCAGGGGAAGUGGAACAGCGGGUUGCCACUUUACCCGACUUUCACGGAGUGCUUAGCACUAGCAGAUGCGCAGUACUUUGGCAAUUCUACAUAAUGAAUGCAAGCAGAGCAAGGAUUAAUUCUGGGGUGCUUCCAAACCAUAAAUGUGGUGGCUAGAUGCCAGUUCUGAAUGCCUUUUUCCCACAACUCCAAUCAACAAACUCCUGGCUGUUACAGUUAAGUGAGUGUUGCAGUUUUCAAGGGUACCUGUUAUAUUAAAUCACACGUUGAUGGAGAAAGAAAACAGAAACAUCACGCUAUUAUGCAGAUAAAAAUGUGGUUCAGAGUUCUUCUGCCAACAGUAGAUUUUCUUAAUAAACAAGAAGCAGGCAGGCUUGGAGUUUUAUGAUGUCUUUAUUUAACUGGAUGAAUACCAAAAUAGAUUUUUUUUUUUUUUUUACAUGUUAAAUGCAAGUUUCUAUGUUAGUUCUGAGGCUGUUUCUCUUUUGGCACAAACGAGAUUAGGGAAUCGUGUUUUCUACACUCACUAGGUGUAGACAGCAAAUAGGUACAUAAGGCAAAACCCAGAAACCCUAGUUAAUAAUUUGCUGAGCCACAAGACAGAUUGACAAAUUAUUAACAGUUGUGCUUCCUUCAAAUAAAUCAGUAAGGUGUCAUUGUGCUCUUGAGUACAGGCAAUGGUGACUGACUUGGGGCACUCAAACUCAUUCCCUGCCAUUUUAAAAUUUUUUCAGUUUAUUUAUUUGAGAGAGAGAGAGAGAG